CACGUAGGGUGCGAGCGUUGUCCGGAAUUAUUGGGCGUAAAGAGCUCGUAGGCGGUGUGUCGCGUCGGCCGUGAAAACCUGCAGCUUAACUGUGGGCUUGCGGUCGAUACGGGCAUCACUGGAGUUCGGCAGGGGAGACUGGAAUUCCUGGUGUAGCGGUGGAAUGCGCAGAUAUCAGGAGGAACACCGGUGGCGAAGGCGGGAUCCUGGGCCAGUACUGACGCUGAGGAGCGAAAGCGUGGGGAGCAAACAGG
rnacentral:rRNA from 1 species